GUGUCAGCCGCCGCGGUAAUACGUAGGGGGCUAGCGUUAUCCGGAAUUACUGGGUGUAAAGGGCGUGUAGGCGGGAAAUUAAGUCAGAUGUGAAAACCCUGGGCUCAACUCAGGGACUGCAUCUGAAACUGGUUUUCUUGAGUGAUGGAGAGGAAAGUGGAAUUCCAAGUGUAGCGGUGAAAUGCGUAGAUAUUUGGAGGAACACCAGUGGCGAAGGCGACUUUCUGGACAUUAACUGACGCUGAGGCGCGAAAGCGUGGGGAGCAAACAGGAUUAGAUACCCUGGUAGUCCACGCUGUAAACGAUGGAUACUAGGUGUAGGAGGUAUCGACCCCUUCUGUGCCGGAGUUAACACAAUAAGUAUCCCACCUGGGGAGUACGGCCGCAAGGUUGAA
rnacentral:rRNA from 1 species